UUUGGUGCAGUAGGUAGCACAUCUGUCUCACAAACUGAAGGUCCCGAGUUUGAUCCUCAGAA
rfam:Monodelphis domestica chromosome 2, whole genome shotgun sequence.